rnacentral:misc_RNA from 1 species
GAUGAAGAACGUAGCGAAAUGCGAUAAGUAAUGUGAAUUGCAGAAUUCAGUGAAUCAUCGAAUCUUUGAACGCACCUUGCGCCCUUUGGCCAUUCCGAAGGGCAUGCCUGUUUGAGUAUCAUGAACACCUCAACUCUUCAUGGUUUUCCGUGAUGAGCUUGGACUUUGGGGGUCUUGCUGGCCUAUGGUCAGCUCCUCUAAAAUAAAUAAGCUUGCCAGUGUUUGGUGGGUAUCACAGGUGUGAUAACUAUCUACGCUUGUGGUUUUCCACCAGGUAACCUUCAGCAGUGGAGGUUCGCUGGAGCUCACAGAUGUGUCUCUCCUCAGUGAGGACAGCUCUUUGAAUGUUUGAUCUCAAAUCAGGUAGGACUACCCGCUGAACUUAAGCAUAUCAAUAAGCGGAGGA